rnacentral:lncRNA from 1 species
CUUGACAGUGUGGCAACUCAGGCACAAAGACUUUCACUUAAACGAGAGGCUGGGUAAAAGAAGAUCUGCCCUAUUACACACAUUUAUGAAGGCAAAACUUCGAGAACUGAUAUUGUCUACUGAAGCAAAAUGCUGAGCACAACUCUGGGCAAAAAAAGGUAUAACCCCAUGAACUAACCACGACUCUUUCUCUCACUCCCACCUGAAGAAAAGAGGGAGCUGAUGGCAGUAUAACUCACUGCAUUUAUAAGACAAGGUUCAUGUCCUUGUGCUGGGGGCUGCAGUGCUGAAUGCAGUACUUCAGGAGGGUCCUCAUCAGAGUGGAGUAGAGGGAGACAGUCACAUCCCUUACCACUUCUGAUAAAGUAUAUUUUACUUCUACCCAAGUACUGUGCAAGUCGCUUGCUGGCCUU